AUGUUGAUGUGGCUAGAGAUGUCAACGGGUCAGAUUCGGGGCGGAUUUUUAAAAAUCCGAACCCAAAUCCGACUCCGAACUCGAACCCGAACCCAACGAAUUUUAGAAUUUCAUAUUCAAAUCCGAACCCGACCAAAAAUCCGAAACUCGAACCCGAAAAUUUGAAUCCGAAACAUCAAUAUUUCAAAAUAUGUUAUAUUAAAUCUAAAUUUUUAAAAUACAAAUUCGAAUAUAAC
rnacentral:lncRNA from 1 species